UCGGCUUCCCGCCUUGUCCGCUCCCCUCCGAUCCCUCUCAGUCGGGAACGACUACAAUAGAAAAAGGUCCACAGGUGCAAAAAUAAAAAAACAAGUCUAGGCCUUCUGAUCCUGGAUGAACGGUCCAGAUUCUAGUGGACGGAUCUGAGUGCACAGGUACUUGGUUCUUUGCAGAAAACUCCCUUGCUUCUACUCGUUUUGCAGGAACAUGGUUGGGCCUUCUCUUCUUCCUAAGAACAGAGCAACGCGAACCCCAAUCCCCAACGUGUAGCCGCCAGCUCCAGCUUGCCGACGGUGGUGGCGGGCCAGAUCCGGUGCCUAGCUGGGCGAUUGCGCUCGGUGGAGGUCCAGAUCCAUCCACGACCGUCUUCUCGACGGCGUUUUGGCUGCCCUGGCGGACCCCCUUUGUCCGAAGCUGAGACCUUGUGCGGGCAAGUUCUCCAAGGUACUCUGCUGCGACCUCCAUAGAAAACUAUCAUUCCAUUCUUUCUCCUACCCCAAUGAGCCCAUUCUUCACACGUUGCCUGCAUGUAACUCCGCCAUCUGGGAACAUCGUAGAAGAAAUCUCAAGUCUUCAUGUAUGCUUGUCUGAAAGGUUGAUACUAAUUUGCAUACUUGAUUCUGUAGCAUUUAUUUAGGAAAUCACUUUUGUUCAACUUUUACUGCAAACUGUGUAUGUCAUCUACUCCUCACAAACAAGAACACAAUAUUAUGGACAAAAUUUUACACUUAAAGAGACUUGUGCUUGGAGUUCAGACUGAAGGUGCCAAGUAUUCUGCAAAUAUUAUGUACCAAAUUUCAGACUUGUGCUUGGACAGUCUGAAAGUACUCUACGGAGUAAAAUUUCAUACUUCCAGACUUGUGCUUCGACGGUCUGGAAGUACUUCUGGUUGUACCAAACUUCAUACUUUCAGACUGACAGUCUGAAAGAUAACAUUCGCAAAGAUGACAAUCUAAAAUUACUUGUGCUUGUACCAAAAUUCAAACUUUCAGACUUGUGCUUGGACAGCCUGAAAGUGCCAAAUUUUAGACUAACUUGGACAGUGUGAAAGCCUGAAAGUGCCGAAUACUUGUGCUUCGACAUGUCAUCUACGACAUACAUAUUAUUAGUACUUCAAACUUCUUUGGCGUAAAGAGUACGCGCAGUACAUAAUAUUAUUUAGAAAUCAUUUUGGUUCAACUCUUACUGCAAACUUCAAGCACAAUUCUGUAGCAUAUCAACUUUAAUUAGGAGGACAUGAUAUUUUGACAUAGAUAUCUGAAAGUACUCUUGCUUUAAAAUAGUGCUUGGAGCAUAUGUUGUAUCCUCUAUGAUAAGAUUAAAAAAUUCUGGAUCUUUGGAAAUGAUAUGAACGGCAAGCAUAUGAACAUUUUGUGAAGGUAUAUAUUUUAGAAAAAAGUCCAUUUUACUACCCUGAAAAAAGUUCGUGGUUCACAUAACCCCCUGAUCUUUUUUUCGGUUCCCUUACCCCCCUAAACAAUCCCAAACCGGGCAAAAACCAUCCUUGGCUGGUUUUGCCUAUACCGGAUGCUGAUGUGGACACAGUCAAAGGCGGUAUUUGGCCUGUGGGUGGGGCCCUCUCAGCUAGACACUCUCACUGACUAUUGGGCCCGGUCAAAUAUGACACAUGGGGCCCACAUCUCGGUUGCACGGAGAUUAACAAGGGACUAAUUUAGCCCUAAUUGCAUCAUUAACAGAAGGGGACCCACAUGUCAAUGUCUCAGACUAACCCUAGUGAUGAAGGGGACCCACAUGUCAAUGUCUCAGAUUAACAGAAGGGGACCUAAACUAAUGAUGCCACAUCAGCGUGGUCCUGCUCCGAGGUCGCCGGCGUGGAGGGCUUCAGCGGCGGCGCAUCGGCGCAGUCGUGCUCAGGCGCAGACGUGCGCAAAGGAGGCCGGGGCGACGGUCAAGGCGGCUGCGGAGGUCGUGGCCUCCCGUUGACCAGAGGCGGCCGACCAGGGGUGUGUGGAUGCGGUAGCAAGGGCCGGCCAUGGAUGUGGAGGUGGCGGCGCUACAACGAUGCAGGCGGCCCGGGGAGGCGAGGGACGACCAGAUCUGAGGGUGGCGCCCCCAUCUGAUCUGGUUCCGACCGGAUCCGGACUCCGGCGGCGGUGUGAAGAUGGUACGACAGCGAGCUUGUGGCGGCGGAGUGACCUGUACCUGAGAGAGAGAUACGAGGGAAGAGAGAGGGAGAGGAAAGAGAAGGGAGGAAGGAGAAGCGGGGCACUCGGGGUGGCGCCUUGGAACUCCGGCAGUCGCCGGCGUUGGUCGGAGGCGGGGCAGGGUUCGGGUGCGAGGGAGCGAUGCUCGGGUAGGUAGGCGACGACAAAACGCGGUCCACCUGAUGGAGGCCCACCCACAGGUCAAAACCACCAUUUGACUGUUGCCACGUCAGCGCCAAGAUGAGUCAAAACCAUCCAGGGAUUGAUUUUGCCCGGUAUAGGAUUGUUUAGGGGGUGAAAGGAACCGAAAUAAAGAUCAGGGGUUAUGUGAACCACCAACAGUAUCUUGGAAGCUUACAGAGAUUUUUAUGUUUUGAGGUGAUUAAGAAGUCAGAUAUUUGGAUUUUGGAGUGAAAUGCAAUUUCUGCUCUGCAUAUGAUGGAUAGAUCAAAGCUCGUCGACUAGUGCUACCUUCAUCCUCCGCUGUUUUGUUGCUGCAUCUCGAACUCAAAAUGGAGGGAAGUAGUGGGACGUCGCCUUUAGGAGAGCCCACCGUUCCAGUAAUCCCAAACUGUGUACCAACACUAUCAGUUGUGGAAUCGGCCAAUAGUGUCCAAAAUCAAGAUUUGAGUGAUGCUACCUCAUUUGCAGAAAUAAAUUCCCCAAUGCUUCUCAUUGAUGAUGCGAGUACACCAAAAAAGAAACAAGCCUUCUCUCAAGAGGGUUCUUUGUAUAAACCCCAGUGUGAUGAGGAAUUGAAGCCAAAAGUGGGGAUGCUAUUUGAUGACAUUGGCUCAGUAAUGGAAUUUUACAAGACAUAUGCACACCAUGUCGGAUUUGGUGUACGUCUUGGACAGCAAAAGAUCGUAGAUAAUGCGCUUCUUGUGUGCAAAAGAAGGAUUUCGGCCCGAGAAAGGUAUGGUUGUUGUUGAUCAUUCCAAGAAAAGGCAAAAGGUAUGAACUUCGUGCAACAUGGAUACCAGCUUACUUUAUGGAAAUUCCCCUAGCUGGUCUUCUCAGGACAACUUCGAUUUCAGAGAGCGCAAACUCAUUUUUUAAGCGUUUCAUUUGUCGCAAGCUUACCUUUGUUGAGUUUUGGCUAAGAUUUGACACUGCUUUGAAGUGUCAGAGGCAGAAUGAGUUAAUUGCUGAUAACACAAGUGAAUACACAACAAGUGAGUUGGUGACACCAUGGGAAAUAGAGAGACAAGGCAGGGCGGUAUUCACCCACGAGAUUUUUGAAUUAUUUCAGGCCCAAGUGCUUGCUGCCAGAGAUGAUUGUGAUGUUCAGGACACGGAAAAUCGUGAGGGGAUUAAAAUCAUGUUUGUGAGUGAUCAAUACAAAAAGAUUAGAGAAGUGUCUUAUGACACAAUAUCCAUGACUGCUAAAUGUUCUUGCAAGCUUUUUGAGUCCAAUGGAAUCAUGUGCCGCCAUAUUAUCCGAGUGUUGAGGGGUGCGAAAAUAAAUGAAUUGCCAAGAAUUUAUGUUCUUAAGCGGUGGGAGAGAAAUUGCAAAAGGGACAUUAUCUUCGACGGGGAAGGGAACAUACUUGAAGAGAAUUUAAUUGACCCGGUUGACAUGGCUAUGAAAAGGAAGAUAGCUCUCGUUAGGAACAAGCUAGAAGAUCUCAUUCGGAAGACUAAAGGUUCAAUGGAAGGAAUUGAAUUCCUGCACACUAGUUUGUGCAACGCUGAGAUGGCUUUAGCCCAUCUCGUACCGGCUGUAGCAUGCAACACACACGAAAAUGAGGAGUCAUUUAUCGGGAGCAUCAUUCCAAAGCACGUUACUAUCCACACACCUACUGAUAUCAAUGCAAGGGGCACUUGCUCUAGAAUAAAGGGACACAGGGAUGCUGUGAGGAGUGGGUCAAGUGAGAAGAAAAGAAGGCCUGGAAUCCAUCAAAAAGUCGCACGCAAAUGUAGCAUUUGCAAGGAAGUGGUGUUCCAUGAUGCAAGGACAUGUUCUAAGAAACAAAUGACACAACAAUAGAGAGGUAGAUGAAAGUUAUGUGAGAGCAUAUCAUCAUGUGAAACAAAUUGCACAACUGAAGAAUCUUCAUAUUUUCAAAAGAAAAAUAACCAUUUUGUGGUUCACUGGUUAUAGGUCUGACUUCUCCGAGCACAAGAAGAUUGAUAAGCAAGAGGCACUAGUACUGGAGGCAAAAGGCAGUAGCUUUUCUGUUGUGUACCAAACAGAGCAAACUUGAUGCAAAUUCUGACGGCAAGCUUGUUCAGCAGACAGCGGUGCUUACUUUAGUCCUGCAUACUUUGUGUUGUCUGUGAUGUACCAAAAAUGGUCCUCUCCAUGUUAUGUACUCCCUCCGUUCGAAAUUACUUGUCGCGAAAAUGAAUGUAUGUAGACGUAUUUUAGUUCUAGAUACAUUCAUUUCCGAGACAAGUAAUUUCGAACGGAGGGAGUAACACUUUAUAUGCAUGUGUGUCGUCUCUAUUCUGUUCUGUUCUGUCUGGGAUCGUGCAAUUUAAAAUGUAUGUGUAGUUAUGGUUUAAAGUGGAUGGAUUAAUUUUCUCA